GGCUGGGGCGGCACAUCUGUUGAAAGAUAACGCAAGUGUCCUAAGAUGAGCUCAACGAGAACAGAAAUCUCAUGUGGAGGCUUUGCCGGAGGCCCAAAAAAUUGCCGCUGG
rnacentral:rRNA from 1 species